AGGCAGCAGUGGGGAAUAUUGGACAAUGGGCGAAAGCCUGAUCCAGCCAUGCCGCGUGUGUGAAGAAGGCCCUCGGGUCGUAAAGCACUUUAAGUUGGGAGGAAGGGCUUACAGCGAAUACCUGUGAGUUUUGACGUUACCGACAGAAUAAGCACCGGCUAACUUCGUGCCAGCAGCCGCGGUAA
rnacentral:rRNA from 1 species